rnacentral:lncRNA from 13 species
CUCCAGGAGGAAACGCACCCUGGCUUUAAGUCCUGACACAGACUGAGAUGUCCUUAAGCUCUAUUGGCUACUGAAGAUAUUUACUGAGAAUCUAUCCAGAACUGAAGAUACAGCAGUCAUCAAAGCACAGAAAUUCUUGACUCUCGAGGACCUUACUUUCUCGAAAGCAAGAAACUACAGGGAUAAAGAACUGGACUCCCAUCAGGAUGCACAAGGAAAGCUAUGUCUCUCCUCCUCAGGCAUGUUUUGGUUGAAGUAUAUGAAGAAAAUCCAGCAUCACACAGAUACGUCACUGAAAAAGGGAA